rnacentral:other from 1 species
ACGUUCCUGGGGUGUUUGCCAGUGGUCGCGUCCUUGAGCCGUUAUAAAAACCUCAGGAGAUUCUUUCGUCUUGCCAGUGUGCAUGCCCAACGAGAUGGGUCGCCUUCGGUCUGACUGGGGUCUCCGCCUUGAAUCGCAACGGUUCAGGGCAAACCAACAGCGGCAUUGCCGGGAACACU